CACGCCGUAAACGAUGAGUGCUAGGUGUUGGGGGUCAAACCUCGGUGCCGCAGUUAACACAUUAAGCACUCCGCCUGGGGAGUACGUGCGCAAGCAUGAAACUCAAAGGAAUUGACGGGGACCCGCACAAGCAGCGGAGCAUGUGGUUUAAUUCGAUGCAACGCGAAGAACCUUACCAGGGCUUGACAUCCUCGGACGACACUAGAGAUAGUGUUUUCUCUUCGGAGACUGAGAGACAGGUGG
rnacentral:rRNA from 1 species